UACGUAGGGUGCAAGCGUUGUCCGGAAUUAUUGGGCGUAAAGAGCUCGUAGGCGGUCUGUCGCGUCGGAUGUGAAAAUCCAGGGCUCAACCCUGGACCUGCAUUCGAUACGGGCAGACUAGAGUUCGGCAGGGGAGACUGGAAUUCCUGGUGUAGCGGUGAAAUGCGCAGAUAUCAGGAGGAACACCGGUGGCGAAGGCGGGUCUCUGGCCGAAACUGACGCUGAGGAGCGAAAGCGUGGGGAGCAAACAGG
rnacentral:rRNA from 1 species